rnacentral:rRNA from 1 species
GAUGAACGCUGGCGACGUGCCUAAUACAUGCAAGUCGAGUGAACAGACGAGGAGCUUGCUCCUCUGACGUUAGCGGCGGACGGGUGAGUAACACGUGGAUAACCUACCUAUAAGACUGGGAUAACUUCGGGAAACCGGAGCUAAUACCGGAUAAUAUAUUGAACCGCAUGGUUCAAUAGUGAAAGACGGUUUUGCUGUCACUUAUAGAUGGAUCCGCGCCGCAUUAGCUAGUUGGUAAGGUAACGGCUUACCAAGGCAACGAUGCGUAGCCGACCUGAGAGGGUGAUCGGCCACACUGGAACUGAGACACGGUCCAGACUCCUACGGGAGGCAGCAGUAGGGAAUCUUCCGCAAUGGGCGAAAGCCUGACGGAGCAACGCCGCGUGAGUGAUGAAGGUCUUCGGAUCGUAAAACUCUGUUAUUAGGGAAGAACAAAUGUGUAAGUAACUAUGCACGUCUUGACGGUACCUAAUCAGAAAGCCACGGCUAACUACGUG